rnacentral:rRNA from 1 species
UACGUAGGGUGCAAGCGUUGUCCGGAAUUAUUGGGCGUAAAGAGCUCGUAGGCGGUUCGUCGCGUCGGCUGUGAAAACCCGAGGCUCAACCUCGGGCCUGCAGUCGAUACGGGCGGACUGGAGUUCGGCAGGGGAGACUGGAAUUCCUGGUGUAGCGGUGAAAUGCGCAGAUAUCAGGAGGAACACCGGUGGCGAAGGCGGGUCUCUGGGCCGAUACUGACGCUGAGGAGCGAAAGCGCGGGGAGCGAACAGG